rnacentral:lncRNA from 1 species
AUUGAACCCAGGAGCACUCUACCACUUAGCUGCAUCCCCAACCACCCUCCACCACCACACUUUUUAGACAGGGUCUGGCCAAGUUGCUGAGAACUGUCUCAGUCUUCCAAACUGCUGAGAUUACAGGCAUGCAUCACCACAUCUGGCAAGAAUAAUAUUUAAUAACAGUUAUUAAGUCCUUACUAUGAGCCAGCACUCUUCCUGGUGCCUCUUUAUGUCAAUCAAUACUGAGCAGGAACAAAGGAACAAAUUUUAGCCUUUUUUUCUUUUGGUACUGGGGAUUGAAUAGGGUGUUUUACCACUGAGCCACAUCCCCAUCCCCUUUUGUUUUUAUUUUGAGACAGGAUCUCUCUAAUGGGUUAGGCCCUGCUAAAUUGCUGAGGCCGGCCUUGAACUUGAGAUCCUCCUGCCUCAGCCUCCAAGUCACUGAGAUUACAGGCAUGCGCCAACAUGCCCAGCCCAUCUUCAUUUUAAAGAAAAUGGAGGCACUAAAAAGUUACAGACUUUGUAGGCUGCUAUAGAGCUAAUAAAGGGCACAGCUGGAGUCUCACAUAAGUAAUAGUUUCUAUCUGGGGACACCAUCUGAUCUUAAUCUUCAGGAUGUAGCCUUUCCUGCACUAUUGUCAAAAAAAAAAAAAACCAAAAGAUUAGAAUGGUUGCUUUUUUUGGGGGGGGAUACUGGGUACUCGACCACUGAGCCACAUCCCCAGUCCUAUUUUGUAUUUUAUCCCUACCCUAUUUUGUAUUUUAUUUAGAGACAGAGUCUCACUGUGUUGCUUAGCACCUCACUUUUGCUGAGGCUGGCUUUGAACUCAAGAUCCUUCUGCCACAGCCUCCCCAGCCGCUGGGAUUACAGGAAUGAGCCACCAUGCCUGGCAGAAUGCUUGCCUUUUGAAGCAGUGUAUACCUCCAAGAGCAGGACCUUCUGUUCUGUCUUCUCAAGAUUCCCAACAGACUGGCUACAUGACCUCACCUUAUAAAAUGCAAACAGGGCUGGCAGUGUAGCUCAGUGGUAGAUCACUUGCCUAGCAUGCAUAAGACCCUAGGUUCCAUCCCAACACUGCAAUAAAUAAAUAAAUAAAUAAAUAAACAAAUAAAUAAAUAAAAUGAAACGAAACCAGGUAAAAUGGG